rnacentral:rRNA from 1 species
GUGCUAAGGUAGCAAAAUCGUUUGUUUUUUAAUUGAAAACUGGAAUGAAAGGUUUUACAAAAAAAGUAUAUUUUAUUAUUGGUUGUUAAAAUUUUUAGUCAGUGUACAAAUACGUUGAUAGGGAGAGGAACGAUAAGACCCUAAAAGCUUUAUUUUUAUUUUUUUUUUAUUAUUGUUUAAAAUUGAAUAAAUGAUAAAGAAUUGGCUGGGGUAGCAGUUUUUAGUAAUAAACAUUGAAAAAACUGAUUGGUUAAAAGUUUCUUUAUAUAAAGAAAGAUAGAUUAAGUUACUUUAGGGAUAACAGCGUUAUAUCAGUGGAGAGAUCUAAUUUAUACUGAUGAUUAUGACCUCGAUGUUGAAUUAAAUUAUCUUUACGGAGCAAAUAUUGUAAAAGAAAGUUUGUUCAACUUUUAAAUUUUUACAUGAUUUGAGUUCAAAUCGGUUUAAGCCAGGUUGGUUUCUAUCAAA